UUUCUGAAAAAUGAUCUAAUCUUUCUUCUCUAAACGGGCUGAACUCCUGAGCCCGGCCCGCUUCACACCAGCCUAGCAGGCCGCCAACCUUUUUCUUCUGCUGACCCGGCCCAGCUCCUCCUCUCUCAAGCCGGCCUUGCCUUCCUCUUCCACCAGCCUGACCCACCACCUGUCCCUCUCUCCCCCUCACCGCCAGGAGGGCCCCACCUAUCAGAUCCACCUUCCUCCUCUGGCCGCGCCACCAGGCCAAGCUGCGCCACCAUGCCGGUGUCCCUUCGCCUCCCGGUGUUGCUCCGGCUCCCCACACCCCCUCGGCUUCCCGUGCCCGCUCGCCUCUCGCACGAGCGCCGCUUGCCCCUCCAUUUCCUCUCCCCUACCAGAAACCAUCGCCCCCACCGCUGGUUGCCAUUAAUGGUUGCUGCCGCCCUUUCCUGUCCACCAGCGCCCCUUCCGCUCCCCUUGCCCCUUCGCCCUAUAAAACGAGCACCUGAGCCCCGGGAGUCCCUACUUCUUCUCGCCCGCCGCCGCACUGCUUCGCCAAGCGCCGCCGCACAAAGCCUCUGAGCCGCCGCUGCUUACCCGCGCCCGCCACCGCCUGUGUUGCUCCUGUGCCGAGUCGCCGGGCUGCUAGCGUUUCUGUCGUGGCGCCCACUGCACCGGUGCGCCACCAUCGCCGCAACCGCGCGCGCCCUGCCCCUUUGGCCCGACUAGCAGCCGCCGCUGGUAAUCUGACCGGACACACGAGCGGAGGAAGCAGGAACUGGAGGUAGAAGAUAAGGCACUGUUUUGCAAUGAAGUCCCUGAAAAACUUAUCUAACCUCGAUCUUUCAGCUUUUCAAGUGUCCUGUUCUCUGAGUCUAGAAGGAUCGCCGUCUGAAGCUUUGAAGGUUAAGAGUUUCAAGAAAGCAAGGACCGAAGAGCAAUAAGAGUAACUUGUCGUUGGAGAAAGGCAAGUGUC